rnacentral:rRNA from 1 species
UCGACCUKAGUUCAGGUGAGGCUACCCGUCUGAACUUAAGCAUAUCAAUAAGCGGAGGA